UACAGAGGGGGCAAGCGUUGUUCGGAAUUACUGGGCGGAAAGGGCGCGUAGGCGGCCUUCUAAGUCGAACGUGAAAUCCCCGGGCUCAACCCGGGAACUGCGUCUGAUACUGGGUGGCUUGAAUUCGGGAGAGGGAUGCGGAAUUCCAGGUGUAGCGGUGAAAUGCGUAGAUAUCUGGAGGAACACCGGUGGCGAAGGCGGCAUCCUGGACCGAGAUUGACGCUGAGGCGCGAAAGCCAGGGGAGCAAACGGG
rnacentral:rRNA from 1 species